rnacentral:tRNA from 2 species
ACUGGGGUGGCAGAGCAUGGUAAAUUGCAAAAGGUCUAAGCCCUUUUAAUCAGAGGUUCAAAUCCUCUUCCCAGUU